rnacentral:rRNA from 1 species
UGUUGUAGAUCGUGUUGUGGGUAAUGGGUGGUGCACAGGGAAUAGGUGUGUUGUAGAUCGUUGUGGGUUGCGUGUAAAGGAGGAGAAGAGGUAAGAUGGACUGCGCGACGAGAGGGAAGAGAUAGGUCUCACGGGUUCUUGCCGAACCGCAGCGGGGCGGUGAGGACAACACGCGCCGGCACCACCGAACCUCUUGCGCGUUGCUACCGCGGAACCUCGAGGAGACAACAGCAGGCUAGACCAGCGGGCGGGUCGCGAGGUCUAGCCUGGUUAUAGGAGGGCCGCUCCGAAGGAGGUAGGAGGGCAGGCUCCUUGCCGCUGGCGGAAGAGUGGGAGUCGUCGCCGGCAUCGGUAGAGGCGGCGGCAGGGCCUGCCUGCUGUCCCGAUCCUGGCCGUCUCCGGCUUCUGCCGACGGCCGCCGCGUACUGGCUUACCCGCGCACGCAGAUCUAUUCUAUGUGUUUAUUUCCUAACACCCAACUUAAGAUUGAUUACGUCCACACAAAGAGGGACGGAGAGGAGGAAGGAAAGACAGGGGGAAUGGAGACAGAGAGAGUGUCCACGUCGUGGCGGCAGCGGUACCUCUCUGGGACAGCCUCGAGUGGUAGAGCUAGCUUUGGCCGCUCCUUGCGGUGGCGGUACUUGAACCUCAAGUUCGGGGCAGCGACCUGGAGGAGGGCGCGGAGGAUCUAGCGGAGGUGCUGCAUGAACGUUGUCCUAGGCCGGCGGCGGCGCGGAGGAGCCGGCCUAAACCGGCCUCUAGCGGCGGCGGCACGGGCCGCAGCAGACGUAGCGCCGUCAGAGCUGUAGGUUGAGCGAAGCGAGCGGUUAUUGGUGAAACAACUUAUAUUUUUUGUGUCCCAGGAAAAACAUUCUUGCUUUGCAAAAGAGUGUUAUCGUGAAGUCUAACAUGACGCCCAACUUAUAGGUUUUAUCCUGCCUGAAAAAAUAUUUUAACGGUGCUGCCUGCUGGUCUUCGUUACGCACCAAAUAAUCAUCCCUUUCUUUAUAUAUAUCAUUUAAUUGUCUGUUUGUCUUCGUUCGUUCACGAGUAGGGUGUAUUUUUAACAUUAGCCACGUAACUAGGUCGUCGAAGCCAGCCAGGUCGUGUUGUAGAUCGUGUUGUGGGUAAUGGGUGGUGCACAGGGAAUAGGUGUGUUGUAGAUCGUUGUGGGUGGCGUGUAAAGGAGGAGAAGAGGUAAGAUGGACUGCGCGACGAGAGGGAAGAGAUAGGUCUGACGGGUUCUUGCCGAACCGCAGCGGGGCGGUGAGGACAUCACGCGCCGGCACCACCGAACCUCUUGCGCGUUGCUACCGCGGAACCUCGAGGAGAUAACAGCAGGCUAGACCGGCGGGCGGGUCGCGAGGUCUAGCCCGGUUAUAGGAGGGCCGCUCCGAAGGAGGUAGGAGGGCAGGCUCCUUGCCGCUGGCGGAAGAGUGGGAGUCGUCGCCGGCAUCGGUAGAGGCGGCGGCAGGGCCUGCCUGCUGUCCCGAUCCUGACCGCCUCCGGCUUCUGCCGACGGCUGCCGCGUACUGGCUUACCCGCGCACGCAGAUCUAUUCUAUGUGUUUAUUUCCUAACACCCAACUUAAGAUUGAUUACGUCCACACAAAGAGGGACGGAGAGGAGGAAGGAAAGACAGGGGGAAUGGAGACAGAGAGAGUGUCCACGUCGUGGCGGCAGCGGUACCUCUCUGGGACAGCCUCGAGCGGUAGAGCUAGCUUUGGCCGCUCCUUGCGGUGGCGGUACUUGAACCUCAAGUUCGGGGCGGCGACCUGGAGGAGGGCGCGGAGGAUCUAGCGGAGGUGCGGCAUGAACGUUGUCCUAGGCCGGCGGCGACGCGGAGGAGCCGGCCUAGACCGGCUUCUAGCGGCGGCGGCACGGGCCGCAGCAGACGUAGCGCCGUCAGAGCUGUAGGUUGAGCGAAGCGAGCGGUUAUUGGUGAAACAACUUAUAUUUUUUGUGUCCCAGGAAAAACAUUCUUGCUUUACAAAGGAGU